GAUGAACGCUGGCGGCGUGCCUAAUACAUGCCAGUCGAGCGAACAGACGAGGAGCUUGCUCCUCUGACGUUAGCGGCGGACGGGUGUGUAACACGUGGAUACCCUACCUAUAUGUCUGGGAUAAUUUCGGAAAACCGGAGCAUAUCCCGGAUAAUAUAUUGAACCGCAUGGUUCAUUGGUAAAAUACGGUUUUUCUGUCUCUUAUAGAUGGUUCCGGGCUGCUUUAGCUAGUUGGUAAGGUAACGGGUUUCCAAGGCAACGAUGCGUAGCCGACCUGAGAGGGUGAUCGGCCACACUGGAACUGAGACACGGUCCAGACUCCUACGGGAGGCAGCAGUAGGGAAUCUUCCGCAAUGGGCGAAAGCUUGACGGAGCAACGGCGCGUGAGUGAUGAAGGUCUUCGGAUCGUAAAACUCUGUUAUUAGGGAAGAACAAAUGUGUAAGUAACUAUGCACGUCUUGACGGUACCUAAUCAGAAAGCCACGGCUAACUACGUG
rnacentral:rRNA from 1 species